ACGCUGGCGGCGUGCCUAAUACAUGCAAGUCGAACGGUCUUUCUAUGGAAGCUUGCUUCCACUGAGAAGAUAGUGGCGGACGGGUGAGUAACACGUGGGUAACCUGCCCAUAAGAGGGGGAUAACAUCCGGAAACGGGUGCUAAUACCGCAUAGUUUUCUUGAUCGCAUGAUCGGGAAAGGAAAGACGGCCUUUGUGCUGUCGCUUAUGGAUGGACCCGCGGCGUAUUAGUUAGUUGGUGAGGUAAUGGCUCACCAAGACGAUGAUACGUAGCCGACCUGAGAGGGUGAUCGGCCACAUUGGGACUGAGACACGGCCCAAACUCCUACGGGAGGCAGCAGUAGGGAAUCUUCCGCAAUGGACGAAAGUCUGACGGAGCAACGCCGCGUGAGUGAAGAAAGGUUUUCGGAUCGUAAAACUCUGUUGUCAGAGAAGAACAAGUUGGAGAGUAACUGCUCCAGCCUUGACGGUAUCUGACCAGAAAGCCACGGCUAACUACGUGCCAGCCGCCGC
rnacentral:rRNA from 1 species